CACGUAGGGCGCAAGCGUUGUCCGGAAUUAUUGGGCGUAAAGAGCUCGUAGGCGGUCUGUUGCGUCCGCUGUGAAAACUCGGGGCUUAACCCCGAGCCUGCAGUGGAUACGGGCAGACUAGAGGUAGGUAGGGGAGAAUGGAAUUCCCGGUGUAGCGGUGAAAUGCGCAGAUAUCGGGAGGAACACCAGUGGCGAAGGCGGCACUCUGGGCCGGUACUGACGCUGAGGAGCGAAAGCGUGGGGAGCGAACAGG
rnacentral:rRNA from 1 species